GAGCUGUGGCUCAGUGGGGGAACAUCUGCUUUGCACACAGAAGGUCCUGGGUUCAGUCCCUGGUGGCAUCU